GUUUUAGUUAUGAAUAUAAACUGGUAAUGAGGUGUAGUUUUAGUUAUGAAUAUUAGCUGGUAAUGAGGUGUAGUUUUAGUUAUGAAUAUUAGCUGGUAAUGAGGUGUAGUUUUAGUUAUGAAUAUUAACUGGUAAUGAGGUGUAGUUUUAGUUAUGAAUAUUAGCUGGUAAUGAGGUGUAGUUUUAGUUAUGAAUAUUAACUGGUAAUGAGGUGUAGUUUUAGUUAUGAAUAUUAACUGGUAAUGAGGUUAUACACUGAGUGGACUAGAUAUUACUCUAACUGAGCAGUGUAUCCUAUAGGUUAUACACUGAGUGGAGUAAAUAUUACUCUAACUGAGCAGUGUAGUCUAUAGGUUAUACACUGAGUGGACUAAAUAUUACUCUAACUGAGCAGUGUAGCCUAUAGGUUAUACACUGAGUGGACUAGAUAUUACUCUAACUGAGCAGUGUAGCCUAUAGGUUAUACACUGAGUGGACUAAAUAUUACUCUAACUGAGCAGUGUAGCCUAUAGGUUAUACACUGAGUGGACUAAAUAUUACUCUAACUGAGCAGUGUAGUCUAUAGGUUAUACACUGAGUGGACUAAAUAUUACUCUAACUGAGCAGUGUAGCCUAUAGGUUAUACACUGAGUGGACUAAAUAUUACUCUAACUGAGCAGUGUAGCCUACAG
rnacentral:lncRNA from 1 species